rnacentral:rRNA from 1 species
AUUGAACGCUGGCGGCAGGCCUAACACAUGCAAGUCGAGCGGCAGCGGAAAGUAGCUUGCUACUUUGCCGGCGAGCGGCGGACGGGUGAGUAAUGUCUGGGAAACUGCCUGAUGGAGGGGGAUAACUACUGGAAACGGUAGCUAAUACCGCAUGACCUCGAAAGAGCAAAGUGGGGGAUCUUCGGACCUCACGCCAUCGGAUGUGCCCAGAUGGGAUUAGCUAGUAGGUGAGGUGAUGGCUCACCUAGGCGACGAUCCCUAGCUGGUCUGAGAGGAUGACCAGCCACACUGGAACUGAGACACGGUCCAGACUCCUACGGGAGGCAGCAGUGGGGAAUAUCGCACAAUGGGCGCAAGCCUGAUGCAGCCAUGCCGCGUGUGUGAAGAAGGCCUUAGGGUUGUAAAGCACUUUCAGCGAGGAGGAAGGCAUCAUACUUAAUACGUGUGGUGAUUGACGUUACUCGCAGAAGAAGCACCGGCUAACUCCGUGCCAGCAGCCGCGGUAAUACGGAGGGUGCAAGCGUUAAUCGGAAUUACUGGGCGUAAAGCGCACGCAGGCGGUUUGUUAAGUCAGAUGUGAAAUCCCCGCGCUUAACGUGGGAACUGCAUUUGAAACUGGCAAGCUAGAGUCUUGUAGAGGGGGGUAGAAUUCCAGGUGUAGCGGUGAAAUGCGUAGAGAUCUGGAGGAAUACCGGUGGCGAAGGCGGCCCCCUGGACAAAGACUGACGCUCAGGUGCGAAAGCGUGGGGAGCAAACAGG